CCUGCCUUCAAAGAUGGGGACAACAGACGGAAACGACUGCUAAUACCGAAUACGAUCCGAAAGUCGCAUGACAUUUGGAUGAAAAGGGUGGCCUAUCGAAGAAGCUAUCGCUUGAAGAGGGGUUUGCGUCCGAUUAGGUAGUUGGUGAGGUAACGGCCCACCAAGCCGACGAUCGGUAGCCCGGUCUGAGAGGAUGAACGGCCACACUGGGAACUGAGACACGGUCCAGACUCCUACGGGAGGCAGCAGUGGGAAUCUUCCGCAAUGGACGAAAGUCUGACGGAGCAACGCCGCGUGAGUGAAGACGGCCUUCGGGUUGUAAAGCUCUGUGAUUCGGGACGAAAGGCCAUAUGUGAAUAAUAUAUGGAAAUGACGGUACCGAAAAGCAAGCCACGGCUAACUACGUGCCAGCAGCCGCGGUAAU
rnacentral:rRNA from 1 species